UUCAUUGUGAAGCAUAUUAACUGAGCGGUUCCAUUUUUCUCAUCUAACAGAUCAUGGCUUCUCUUUCAUCCUCUGAACAUGAUGCUUGCGACCUCAUGUAGAUACAAACUGUCAAUGAAGGAAGAAGGAGCGAAGGCAACUGGGCAAUGGUGAUACAUUUCAAGCGAAACCUCUUCUCGUUCUUGAUCGCUGCAGCUCUCUUCACCUCUGUGGUUGAUGGCCAAUAUGGUUCCAUUGCAACACCACCUGCUCAACUUUACCUCCAGGCCGUAUCUUCUCCGCCUGUGGAACCACCUGUUCAACGUUACCUCCAGGCGGUAUCUUCUCUGCCUGUUCCACAGGCAUUUCCAAUUCAACCUCAAAAUAGAAGAGAGUUGGAAGGGGCUUCUUUGGCGCCAAAUCCUUCGUCUUCUACCACGUCAGAUGGUUCAAUUGCAUUACCACCUGCUCAACUUUACCUCCAGGCGGUAUCUUCUCCGCCUGCUCCACCGGCAUUCCCAAUUCAACCUCAAAAUAGACGAGAAUUGCAAGGGCCUUCUUCGGCACCAAAUCGUUGGUCUCCUCUCCCGCCACAACCUGUAUAUCAUUCGUCACCUCGCACCGCACAUGCUGCUUCGCCUCCUCCCCCGCCUUCUCAUUCAGGCGUCAUAGUCGGGUCCGUCGUGGGCGUCAUCGCAGUGAUUGCAUUAAUCGGAGCUGCGGUCGCGUGGAAGUACAAGAAGAAGCCAGCAAAGGGAGUUCUUGAGCAACCAGGUGGACAAGACACCCAAGAAACAAUACAAAGCCCAAAGGAUAGUCAUGCCUUCCUCCCUGUUGAAGGAAUGGCGGUGGCUUACUCGAUGGAAGCUCUAGAAGCACCGACAAAUGCAGGCAACGGAACCACCACGGAAAAAACAAAUUUUGCAGCUAAAGAAUCAGGAUGCCAUGCAGUUAGCGAAGUCUCGGGCACUAGAACGGCCGACAGGACGGCGCUGGUGGCUGCUGGUGCACGUCAUUUUACCUACGACGAGAUCCUAAGCAUUACUGGAAACUUCAGUCGGAUCAUUGGGGAAGGAGGGUCUUCCACCGUGUAUUGCGGCCAACUACCAGAAGGUGGUCUUAAGGUUGCUGUCAAGAAAUUGAAAGAGUCAGGCUCACAAUUUGGCACCUUCCUUGAAGAAAUAAAGAUUUUGAUGAGAAUCCAUCACAAGAACUUGGUUUCAUUAGUUGGCUUAUGCGAAGAACGAGAUGAAAUAAUACUUGUGUCCGAGUACAUGGCCGGUGGAAGUCUAUCUGAGAUAUUAAAAGCUAGGUCCAGUGAGUUGACAUGGAGAAAACGAUUGCAGAUAGCAAUAGACGCUGCGACAGGGUUAGAAUAUCUGCACACAGGAUGCAGACCAGCAGUCAUUCACAGAGAUAUCAAGCCCGCAAACAUUCUCUUGGAUGAAAAUCUACAAGCCAAGUUAUCAGAUUUUGGGCUGUCCAAGGCUGGAGCAGAAGAUGGAACCGAGUAUUCAGCUUAUCAAACAAAAGUUGCUGGCACAUUGGGAUACAUCGAUCCUGAUACUGGACAAAAAAAUGGGCGUGGACGACACUUCAUUUCCGACACCUGGAACGCUGUGUGUCGACAUCGACACUCAAAUGCAUGUUCGGUUCGGAAGACUUGCGUAUUUCAUUAUUUCAAUAAAGGCGUUUCGCUCCUUUAUGUUCCCGCGAGGGAGAUGGCGAAGAAGAAGGGCUCGAUUUUUUACUUCUCCUGAAGAUCGAGGAGAGUAACGAUGGCUUUCCUGCGCUCAAAAUCCCCCUCUUUCUCUGCUUCCCUGUGCUCCGAAUCCCAACGUCGAUCGUGAAGAUCAGGUCCGACCAGUGGCUGCUCCCCUGCAUCCAAAAUCUCUGAGAUCGUCCAUCUCUCGCUGGCAGACAGUCUAUCUCUUCUCCCGUUCCCCGUAACUGGCUGCAGGCAAAGAGACUCAUCUCCUUAUCAUCAGCCUUGUCGUCCAAUGACUGUCCUCCAAGUAAUCAGUGUUCUGAAGGGGACUUCUGCCGGUACUUAGGCAAAGCAGGCCAAAGCAUCACCCGACCCUCCAUGCCUAAAGUUGGGUUAGCUGGGAGCGACGUUGCCCGGCAUUUGGAAGAGAGAUGCUUUUUGGCUCUUGUGGGCAAAAGAGGCUUUUUGGUAGCGGCUUCAGUGGAGAUAAACUGUUCACGGAUUCCUCCAAGGGUUCCUCUGAUUGGAAAUGGAAGCUUUGAUGUUGAAUGUAAAGAGAAAGAAAACGAAAAGAUGAGGAGAAUGAAAGGAAGAGAGAAAUUUGAUCGAAGGAGGAGGAGAAGGAGAGGAGAGGAAAGAGAGCUCAACCGCAUGAGAGAGAACCAAGUGACACAAGCUUAAAUAAGUGAAACUCAUCAACACGUGACUUGAGUCAAGCAAUAUGUGACUCAAGCAAAGCUCAGGCUGGCGGAGCUCGCUCAUUGUCCAUUCUUAAUGAUAAGCUCUGGGCUGACCAAAAGACCAAGACGAGGUUUUGUUCUAUUGCGUACCGGGAAGCUAGCUGAGCUGUAAGUGAAGAACAAGUCAAGCUUUUAUGAGCAGCUGAUGAACAGCUGGAUCACCAAAAUACUGGGACUCCUCCACCCAGCAUGGACACAUGUAUGUGAGUGCCCCAAAGAUUCCCGUUUGCGUUAUGCGGCUGGUGUGCAAAUUUGGUUGAGACCAAGUUAUGUGCACUACCCCAGCGUUCGCAACAAGCAUACGCCGACGGUAUACCAUACUAUGCAUAUAUGAAGUUUCAAUAUUGACCUUAGUGAAUGAAAAUGUAUAUGUUUAUAUUUAAUUAAAUGUUCUUAUAGGGUAGUCCAUACUUCGUACAUGUAAAGUUUACAAAUGACUUUUGUAUGAG